rnacentral:lncRNA from 1 species
UAAUUUUUAGGCUGUCCUCUCCAGUGCUAAUCCCUAUCACUGCCCCCACUCUCUCUCUCUCAACACAAUUUUGGUUUUGCUAUUUUCUCCUAACGUUUUUCUUUGCAGACGCUCCAUACCUAACCCUAAUCCCCCAAGGAGCUCAACCAUCUUUAAAGAUCCAAAAAGGUAAUCGGUACUUUCUUCAAGAAGAAUGAUUUUUUUUUUUUAAUUUUAUCUUAAUUUUUUUGCGUACUGAAUUGAAAUUUCCUCCUGCUUUUGUGGGUUAGAUCUGUGCGUUUCAGGUAGAGCAGUAGGGAAUAAUGGGAGACACAAAGGAGAACGAUGCUUACGAGGAGGAGCUUCUCGACUACGAAGAAGAUGACGAAAAAGCCCCUGAUUCCAUCUCCGCUAAAGUUAAUGGCGAGUCCGCCAAGAAGU